rnacentral:rRNA from 1 species
AUGAACGCUAGCUACAGGCUUAACCCCUGCAAGUCGCGGGGCAGCAUGGUCUUAGCUUGCUAAGGCCGAUGGCGACCGGCGCACGGGUGAGUAACACGUAUCCAACCUGCCGUCUACUCUUGGACAGCCUUCUGAAAGGAAGAUUAAUACAAGAUGGCAUCAUGAGUCCGCAUGUUCACAUGAUUAAAGGUAUUCCGGUAGACGAUGGGGAUGCGUUCCAUUAGAUAGUAGGCGGGGUAACGGCCCACCUAGUCUUCGAUGGAUAGGGGUUCUGAGAGGAAGGUCCCCCACAUGGGAACUGAGACACGGUCCAAACUCCUACGGGAGGCAGCAGUGAGGAAUAUUGGUCAAUGGGCGAGAGCCUGAACCAGCCAAGUAGCGUGAAGGACGACUGCCCUAUGGGUUGUAAACUUCUUUUAUAAAGGAAUAAAGUCGGGUAUGGAUACCCGUUUGCAUGUACUUUAUGAAUAAGGAUCGGCUAACUCCGUG